rnacentral:rRNA from 1 species
GUCAACGGCCAUACCAUGCUGAAAGUACCGGUUCUCGUCCGUUCACCGAAGUCAAGCAGCAUCGGGCGCGGUCAGUACUUGGGAGGGUGACCACCUGGAAUCACCGCGUGCUGUUGACA